ACCACCACCACCACCACCAGCAAACGGCGUUGCAUUCGCUCUUGUUCGGCUCCCAGUCGUCGCUCGGUGCUUGCUGUUAUACUUUCAUUGCCGUCUCUUUCGUUUUUGGCUUUUAUAGAGAUCUGCAUUUAAUGGUACACUCGCAUAGUUACAUAUGCAUACCGCUCUCCGAUCUCUCUAUCAUCAAGUGUGUGUGCGGGAACAACAUUGCCGUUGUUUCUGAUGCCGAGGGCUUGGAAAUGGGAUACGGUUUAUGGUACGAGUAUACGGAGGCGGGGGAACGGGAUAUGCCACAAGAGCUGGAGUGUUAAAGGGGCGAAGGGAUCAACAGGAGGAUCAGGAACAGUGCUGGAUACGGUAUUCCCUCACAGGCGUUCCUCACAACUGGGAAACUCACAACUGGGAUACUCACAACAAUAACUGUAGCGUAAAGAAGUCUUGAACUUUUAUAUACACUGGAUUGGCAAGCAGACGGAUCAGAAUCAGUAAUGGAAUAGAAUGGAACGCCUUGGGAAGGGUUUCUCUCGGGAGAAACCGGUACUCGGUACUCGGUACUCGGUACUAGAAAGUCAAGCCGAAUCAGGAUCAGAUCAUAUACAUAUAUGUAAGUAUCUAGACACUGGAGUUGUAAUGGUAAGGUCUGGAUCGAUUGCGUAACAGAUUUGCUGCGGUGCUUUCAAGAAAAGUUCUGCAAAUAUAAUGUGUUCAGAUGGCGUUUCUAUCUUUCUCGAGCGCUCACCACCACUGACACUGCAGGGGCUUGAAUGCAACCAAAGAUCUUUCUAAAUGUUACCAAGACUUUUCAGUUCAAAGAAGUUGGAUAAGGAGAAGAAUAGCAGUUGGAAUGGAAUGGUAAAGGCGUCUAGGCAUAAACCCUCAGACUCAGACAAGAUACACUUUUCGCUGGCGAAGUGUGAUGUAAGUACAGUAGAAUCCGGUUAUAACGACUCUGCUUAUUCGAUGACUUGGUUGGCCCCCAUGCAAACUUAUAUGAAAGAGCCUCCGCUUAAUAUAUGUAUAUGCAUAUAUCAGUGAUCGGCAACGAUUUCAAAGGAAGAACUGGCUGAAUAUGUUCUUAUUGACAAUGCUGUGGCGUUUUGUGAGGACCCUUCCGAAGACAACAUUGUUAAAAAUAUAUUAGAUAACGGACAGGACAGCGACGGCAACGUCGAAGAUCAAAAUGAAUCGUUUUGGAGGCAUUUAAGCCUGCAGAAAUUCGCGGAAGCAUAGCAUGACUAGUUUAAAUAAUGCCGUGCGCUACUGUUUUUAUAUAUCAGAAACUACUGCUACACAAUCAAAAAUUACUCAUUGUUUAAACUAAGAAUAAAAAGAAAGACCCCAUAUAUAAAUUAAUCUUGUUAUAAUUUGCUUAUGAAUAUGCAUUAUAUGUAUACAACUUUUUAUGAAAAACACAAAUUAAUGCGUUUUAUUUAAAAAUAUAUAUAUUUUUUUUGCUCCUCUUUUGGUUAGAGCGUCUUCCUGGGAUAACGACGUAAAAUCAUCGGCCCCUUGAGUGUCGUUAUAGCCGGAUUCUACUGUAUUUUCAUAUUUCGCUGGCGGCAGUUUAUUAAAAUGUUCUGUGUUUGUUUACAAAUAAAGUCGAACUUUUGUAUGACGGCAAGAGGGAAAGCAAGUAGGCUAUUAAUGUCGCCUGUAAUGAAUUAAUACAUAGUUUCUGAAGAUAAGUGGAACCAACACGUUUUUAUCUAUCUACAUCUAUCUAUACAUUUACUUUAGACUUCUUAAAUAAAAGUCAAUUUGUUUCAUUAUUGAAUAGUUUUGGACGGCAUCCUGGCUUGUUACACUUUAUUUCGGUUGUGCCUGCCAGUUCGCUAGCGAAAGGUAGCGAAAGGAAUAUAUGUACAUAGAUAUAUUUAUACCUUUCGGUCGUUCAAAGCGGAACCCCGUCGGUUUUUUUCUAGUAUUAUUCGUAAUUUUAUUUAUCUUACCUUAGAACUACAUAGGUCGCAAAUUAAGCUUUUUAAAAAAUCUAGCCAGCAAAAAACAGAAAUGUUGUCUUAUGUUAUGUUGUUUAAGUUUUCUGAGUACUAGGGCUUAUAUCUCAUAAUAAAUGUGGGAAACAUAAUUAGAAAAACAUUCGACGGAAUAUCUUCCACUAGAGAUAAUUCAUUUAGCUGGACUUGAUCGCGGAAAUACUGACCCUCUCGCUGUAUUCAGCCCCUCAUUCAUCGCCUAUUCAGUUGCAUAAGUGAGUUCACUGGAGGUAUCGGUAUCGGUAUCGGUAUCAAAUCGAAAACAUAACUUAAAACUGAACUGUGAUCAGUAAUGGUUUUUGUGAAUGCCUUGUUUCUACUACGAUUCAUUGCCAAGCGAUCGUGAAAAUUUUAAAAGUGUAGAAAUUUCCGCUAACAAUACCAUAGAAAAUUUCACUUUAUUCAAUUCAUGUAUGUACCUAUGUAUGUAUAUACUACAUAUGUAUGUAAGUACUAAGCACACAAAGCACAAACACAUGCAAAAAGGCACUUACAAUUACAGAUAUAAGCAUGCAUAUGUAUGUAUGUAUGUAUGUGGAUAUGCAUUGUAUAUUUAACAUAAGCGACUGUACAUUGCAUGUGCUUGUUGUUCUCUAUUUUAUCAAGAGGCUGUUCAAAUACGAAAGAAUAAUAAACACCCGCACGCACACAGGUACGGAUACGGAAUUGCUCUUAAAUAUGUAAGUAUUCGAGUAUCUUAAGCAUUCUCGUGGGAAUUGUGUUUAACCACAAGGUAAGACUGUCUUCGAAGAAAGAUCGCACUGAAGCUUAACAUACGCUAGGCUAAAUCCCGUUUUAAGGGGAGUACUUAUUUCUAAAUGUCUGGUUCAAAGUGGAGAUUAUAAUAGAUAGUGUUGUAGCCAUAGUCGCGGUUGUUCAAAUUCAUCCGAGUUGUUUAGAUUGAAAAUGGAGUAAUAUUGUUUCUGCGGAGGCUUUUGUUAUAAUACGAUACGAUUUCGAUCAAAUUUUGAUCAAAUAUGUAGUUCGCGAGUUAGUUUUUAAACACACACUUUUUAGUUUUCCUUCAAGUGGCCUAUUUUUCAAUUUGUUUAAAUCAUGGAGAUUUUGUAAAGAUUCACAUUUAAUUGCAAGUUCGGUAGAAUUUUUUCCAAAUUAUCUAGAUUAUAAAUUUAUUUAUGCGAUGCCACCUAACACUCGAUGGUCUUUUAUUUAUCAAAAGUUUCUGAUUCUGUUUUUAUCAUAGUAAACCAUUUGUAAGGCUUCCGAAGAUUUACAUAUUUUAUUACAUUCGGUCUGAUUUUGGAUUUCGAUUUAGCAAGCUAAAUUGUAUGUAAAAUAUUCUUACAUUUUUUGGUAGCUAAAAUGGUGUGAAAAUUGUAGUAGCCUUUUUAAAGGGUAUCAAAAUCGUAAUCAUUCACACGAACACACACACACACAUGCUUUUGCAAACACAUGAUUUCAUAUAGAGUUAACGCACUGAUUUAACGUAACUAUUCCAGUGCUCUCAAGUGAACAUACAUAGUAGUUAAUAGGAAAAGCAACAAGAACUCACAAAGACAGAGACAGAUAGCCGUGGAAUAAGAGAGGGACAGGACAGGGGGAGAGAGAGCUAACAGCAUGUGCUGAGAGCAGAGAAACGGAAUGUCAGGCAACGCGGGCCAGGGAGGGGUGGGUGGCAAUGAGAGCAGCCCAAGGAGCGAGCGAAUGAAUGAGUGAGAGAGCCCAAAGCCAUAAUAAUAACAAUCAUAAAUUGAAGAGUUAAACUAAUAAUGAUAUACAGCUAUCUCUAUCGCACUCUCCCUCUCUCUUCGUAAUACAUUUAUGUACUUGUGUGUGUGUGUGUGUUGUAUAGUUAAUAAUAAUAAAGUCGCACAUACCUUUAUUUAGUUGAAAUAGCUUUGCAUUUAUCUUUACUCGGCUUCUUCCUCUGCCUUUCGUCUUCUGAUUCGUAGUUCGUAGUCUAUGAUUUUUGUUAUUUGCCGUUGGUUCUCUCUCUCUCUCUCUCUCUAUCUUAUAGUUUUCACACAAAACAGAAUAAAAAAAAAAUGGAAUGUGUAAAAUUGAAUUUAUUAGUACUUUUUAUUGUUCGUCGUUUUAGGAGCGUCUCUGUCAUUAUGUGUGGAUAGAAAACUAUGCUUCUAUAAAUGUUUUUCAAGGAACCGUUCUUCGUUACGUUUUACUAUUCAUAUUUGUUCUUUCCUUACUCGCUCUUCUUACUCACACUUUUUUACUUAUUUUUCUCAGCUUUUCCUUUGCCUUUUCUUAGAAUUGAAUUUUUCGGCUAACGGUAAAAGCGCACUGCCAAAAAACAAACAAAAAGAACAGGAACGGAACAGACGACAGGGGAAACUCCCAGGGACUGAAAUCCCGUCACACGCGCGCUGCUAACACACCGUUAUAAUUGCCGCAUUAGUGUAUGAAAGUGCAUGUGCAACCGCAAAAACAGUGCACUCCGGCAGCAUGAAACACACUUAUUGCUGUUGUUACUAGUCUAAUUUUAGUUAAUGCUUUUAAUGGAGCCGCGCCAGUAGACAGAAGCAAAGGUAAAUGUAAACUACGCUACCUGCGACCAGCAGCCGCAGUAAAGUAACACAAACAAACGUUAACAAGCGCGUAACGUAACGCGCUCACGACGGUCAAUUAAUUCUUGUCUUCCAGUCUGACCCUCAGAAAUAUACCCAAACUACGUCACAAAUUUCAAAAUAUACCGUAAAUAUACUGACGAAUUAUUUUUA